GUUCCUGUAGCUCAGUUGGUAGAGCACUAGACUGAAAAUCUAGGUGUCGAUAGUUCAAUUCUAUCUGGGAACACCA
rnacentral:tRNA from 1 species